AUGCCUACCAGGAGAACUGGAACCCAAGCUGAACUCUUCUUGGACGAUGAUGUGGCUACUAAGAGAACCAUUUAUAUCUGCCAUAUCAACAUGAAUGAUCUUAUUCAAGAAAUCUACUCGCAGUUCCAAGUUCAAAUAGUGCCAGCUCUUCUCAUUGAUAAAUGGACUCAUUGUUCCUUCCAUUGUGGAUCAUACAACACCUGUCUUCUAGGAAAGGAAAGUCCAAUUCUCUAAGAGCCUAAGUUUCCAUUACCCUCACAAGAGCAAAGCUGAGACCAACUACAUGUGGAGAGAGAGAUGUAAGGGAGCUGCCCCCAAGGAGCUCUGUGCAAUGUGCUGAUGGAUUGAGGGUGGCACUUUGUGUCUAAUUACUGGUAUGGGAGGACAGGGGCAUGGAGGAAAGAGGAGGAAAGUGAAUGGCAAAGGGAGUGAGGAAAAGAGACCAGGAGUUUUCUGCAAAGAAAGAAGAGUU
rnacentral:lncRNA from 1 species